GUGUAAUUGAAAAAGAAAACAACAGAGAAUUUACAUCAUCUUCAAAUAUAAUUACUCCAUCAAGUGGAAAUUAUCCAUCAGCUGCUGGUAGAAAUAUUGAAAGAGCAUCAACAUCAUUUAACUUUAGUGCCACUCCAAAAUUUUCGAAAUAUGGCACGGUAACAGCGACACUAGAAGCAAAGACUGGAGACCUCCAAAUAUUGAAAGCAUUAAGAUCAUCUAAAAUAUUUGAAGAUGUUAACAGGAAGGCGCUCGUAAGAAUUGUUACAUCUGAACUAGUCGACUAUCAUCAAAACCAUUAUCCACCACAAUCGGCUAAAUUAGCUUUGGCAAAAGCAUUAAUCACUGAAUUUCCGCGACUAAAAAAUGAAUAUUCAAAAGAUGGUUGGG